AAUCGCGGUUUGUACGUCUGCAAUGGUUCUGGAAGCGAUUGGUUGAACAAUUGAAAAUUUUGAUAAUUUGUCUACACAAGUCAAGUACGACGUCGGUUUUUUUUAACAAGUCCAGUCCAAUUAUUCCGUCAAACGUUGUUAAGUUCGUGUUGUACCCAUGGA